rnacentral:rRNA from 1 species
AGCUCCAGAAGCGUAUAUUUAAAUUGUUGCUGUUAAAAAGCUCGUAGUUGGAUUUCUGGUGUGGUGCGGUUGGUCCGUCACCGAUAGGUGGUCGAGUACCGGCGUUGCGCCUACCAUCCCUUCUGGAGAGGCCGGCUGCGCUUCAUUGCGUGGCUGGAACCACCGAUCCAGAUCGUUUACUUUGAAAAAAUUAGAGUGUUUAAAGCAGGCGUCAGCCACUGAAUACAUUAGCAUGGAAUAAUGAGAUAGGACUUUGGCCCUAUUUUGUUGGUUUCUAGGACUGAAGUAAUGAUUGAUAGGGACAGUUGGGGGUGCUAGUAUUUAACGGCCAGAGGUGAAAUUCUUGGAUUCGUUAAAGACUAACUAAUGCGAAAGCAUUCACCAAGGAUGUCUUCU